GCCGAGGUAGCUCAGUGGUAGAGCAGAGGACUGAAAAUCCUUGUGUCGCGGGUCCGAUCCCCGCCCUCGGCA
rnacentral:tRNA from 1 species